ACACUGGUGGCAGAAUGGUGAUGCAUUCAGCUUCUGACCAAAAGGUUGGUGGUUUGAACCCACCCAGAUGCU
rnacentral:tRNA from 1 species